rnacentral:rRNA from 1 species
ACGAAGGGGGCUAGCGUUGCUCGGAAUCACUGGGCGUAAAGGGCGCGUAGGCGGACAGCUAAGUCAGGGGUGAAAUCCCGAGGCUCAACCUCGGAAUUGCCCUUGAUACUGGUUGUCUUGAGAUCGGAAGAGGUAAGUGGAAUUGCGAGUGUAGAGGUGAAAUUCGUAGAUAUUCGCAGGAACACCAGUGGCGAAGGCGACUUACUGGUCCGUAUCUGACGCUGAGGCGCGAAAGCGUGGGGAGCAAACAG